UGAGGAAUAUUGCGCAAUGGAGGAAACUCUGACGCAGCCAUGCCGCGUGAAGGAUUGAAUGCCCUAUGGGUUGUAAACUUCUUUUGUACAGGAAAAAACCCUUGCUCGUGAGCGAGGUUGAGGGUACCGUAAGAAUAAGCACCGGCUAACUCCGUGCCAGCAGCCGCGGUAAUACGGAGGGUGCAAGCGUUAUCCGGAUUUAUUGGGUUUAAAGGGUCCGUAGGCGGAUCGUUAAGUCAGUGGUGAAAGCCCACAGCUCAACUGUGGAACUGCCAUUGAUACUGGCGAUCUUGAGUGCGUGUGAAGUUAGCGGAAUGUGUGGUGUAGCGGUGAAAUGCGUAGAUAUCAAGAGGAACACCUGAGGUGAAGACGGGUUGCUGGGCUGACACUGACGCUGAGGCGCGAAAGCCAGGGGAGCAAACGGGAUUAGAUACCCCUGUAGUCCCUGAGCGGGCUGGCAAGGCGCAU
rnacentral:rRNA from 1 species